GACGAACGCUGGCGGCGUGCUUAACACAUGCAAGUCGAACGGUAAGGCCCUUCGGGGUACACGAGUGGCGAACGGGUGAGUAACACGUGGGUGAUCUGCCCUGCACUUCGGGAUAAGCCCGGGAAACUGGGUCUAAUACCGGAUAGGACCACUGCCUGCAUGGGUGGUGGUGCAAAGCUUUUGCGGUGUGGGAUGGGCCCGCGGCCUAUCAGCUUGUUGGUGGGGUGAUGGCCUACCAAGGCGACGACGGGUAGCCGGCCUGAGAGGGUGACCGGCCACACUGGGACUGAGAUACGGCCCAGACUCCUACGGGAGGCAGCAGUGGGGAAUAUUGCACAAUGGGCGCAAGCCUGAUGCAGCGACGCCGCGUGAGGGAUGACGGCCUUCGGGUUGUAAACCUCUUUCGGCACCGACGAAGCGCAAGUGACGGUAGGUGCAGAAGAAGGACCGGCCAACUACGUGCCAGCCGCCGCCGUAA
rnacentral:rRNA from 1 species